CAGGUUUAACAGCCUGGAAGAGAUGCCCUCUGACCAUCUGCUCUGAUGGACCACUCAUCCGCCCAUAAAUCCAAGCUUCAGAUGUGAGUCCCCACCUUUAAGGAAAAUUUCCUCAGUCUGGUUCAGAGCCUGGUCACACAGUUUUUUUGGCAGAAACGAGUGGAAAGAGCACUUUGGCAUAGAGGGGAAAUGAGCAACAGAGGGUGAAAGGUGUCUUGGCAGAUACUUCCAGUCUGUGUCCUUAUCUCACAGUGUCCAGCCGUCUUCAAAGACUUCUCCAGUUUCUGGUGUUUUGCAAGUUCAAAAUCUUGCAGCAUCCUGGUACUGAAAAUGUGGGAAUUAACAAAAUAAUUGGAGCUGAAUGACAGUUUUGAAGUUUGCCGCCUCGUGGCCUCCAGGCUGGUGACCCUGGUGCGAGCUGUCGGGCCUUGCGCUGCACACCGCCUUAUCAGCGGGGAGGCUCUUUCGUUUCCAGCUGGGACUUUUGGUCUGGAUUGGAUCCAUCAUGCCACCAGGUCUGAUUGAUGGCCUUAUUGACAAUCGGGUUGACCCUUGUUCGGCAGGCUGACAUGCUCUGUAUUUCACGGGCCGGCAUUUGAUGCGUAUCAAAGAGGUGGUCAGGUCAUCAGAACAGCCAAUUAAAACGAUAAAGAGGGAGGAGUGGAAGAUGAGGUUUUAACUCUUUCCAGCCCAUCAGUAAACAUCUUUAUGAAGCACAGAUAUUGUCUUCUGUCAAAAAGGGUGGUUGGGAGGGAGGCAAAAGCAAAGGUCCACUUAUAUAACAUUUAUCUAUGGGAACUCUUUAAAAAUUGAAUAAGCAGGGGUCAGGAAACAAUUAGCUGUCUAUGCAGUUGUCAGUUAUUUAGAGUCAGGAAUGAGACUGGAUCAAUUUGAUACCCUUCCAUUCUUCCUUUUUUUUUUUUUUUUUUUCCUGAACAGCAUAUUAUAAAGGAGACCAUAAAAUUCAGCAUAGGUUUGUGAGUAUGUAAUAAUACAUGUCAAACUCAAACACUGCCUAAAAGACAAGGAUUUUGUACCAUUGCUGUUGUUACUCGGAGAGGAGAAAGGGACUCCCACUACAGAUGCUGUAGCUGACAGCCAGCAGAAGGUAAUAAAUUCAGGAGCUAUUUAGCAACAGCUUCUGAAUAAUGGUAUCAGAAGAACAUGCUCUUCACACGAGGAGCCUAAUGAGGGAAAAGUGCUAGAGCCAGGGAUUAAGGGUACCAUUGGGAUCACGGGUAAUAAAAGCUCUAUAAUCUGUCAAUGGCUGAUGUUUGUACCAGUGCAGGGUCGGUCACAGUUGCUUCAGUGUUAGUUUGGGAGCUGUCUUUUAAGAUAAUUCAUUCUUUCCUAAGAUGCUAGCAAAAAUGCACUAGAUCCUGGACUUUUUUGCCUCCUGAGCUUUAAUCCAUACUUACACUCAAGUUUCUAGGUACCAGUUUUAAUGGAAAUGCUAGCAAAACAAAGCUUGAAUCAGUUUUAAGUGUAGAAAGGUUACUGUGCGGAACAGUCCAGCACAUCCAGAUUCAGUUCCUGGUUUAGGCAAAGAAUUUCAGGAUGGCAUCAUUUGUGCUAUAGUUGAGUUUCCAGUUUAUAAAUGGAGGGACAACUUCCUUGUUUUCCCAAGAAAGGUGAAAUUUAUGAAAUGUAAUAAUGCUAAGAAUUUAGUUGAUAUCUGAACAUGGAAAGAAAAAAUUGCCCUCCUAUCCCCUGAAAAAAAAGAAGAAAAAAAAAAAACACAAAAAAAACAUGCCAUACCUGUAGUGCUGCAUGCACUCCUCAAAGGUCUUCCUUCACCUGCUUGUACUUGUUCAGUUUUUGCUUUAAUAUCAUAAUCUAACUAAUGUGAAGGCAUUGAAUCCAUUUUCUUACUGUUGGGUAAAUGAUGGUUAAGUGUCAGGAGAUUUAUUUAAUUGUCUCGCUAUUAAAAAAAAAGGUAGGUCUGCUGAGUGAAAGCUUUUAUGCUUUUAAAUGAGGUAUUGUUGUGAUUGGAGUUUAAACAGCAAUGAUUUCCUCAAAAAUGCAUUGGCAAUAAUCACUGGCUUGUUUGAUUGUCCACAUAACUGUACCACCCGCACUGCCAAGAAACUCAUCUGAACCACCAAUGAUAAUAAUAGCUAUUUUUUUCCAUUAAGCAUGCUGCAGAUACAAUAUUCAGGGACAGGAACAUCUUCAUUAGGCAGUACGGAAAGUGAACACAUUGUUCACAAAUCAGCCUCAGGAAUAAUGGACUAGAGAGACUUCAGAGGUGAGGGAUGGAGGCUGUGGGGGCGGGAAAGGGUCUCAGAGCUUCAUGAACCACAUACAGAGAGGAUUUUAGUGGGAUACGGGCAAUUGAUUCCCUUAAGUGUCUUUGAAGAGGCCGGUCUAGGGGUAAAGAAACUCCAGAUGACUCAUUUUAGUAUCUCACAGUCUGGCCACAGUGUCUCAAUCAUUGUUUUACUCUUUUAUAUUUCUUUAAUUAAAAAAAAAAAAAAAUCCAUGAAUACAGAGCUAAUUCAUCUGUCUUAAUCAGAAACAAUGUGAGGAUGACAGCUUUCUGAGGUGAGCUGGUGACGCAGAGGUGAGAAACCCAUUGUUGUACCUGGGUACUGCAGAGCAUCCUAGAUGUCUGUGAAAUGCAAACAAGCCAAAUUAAUUCUUUCUGAAAUUUUUCCAUGGGAAAUCCAUUUCCCUGCUAGCUCCUGUCCCAGAAAUCCGUCCUGUGCCAGGAGCACAGCUCAGGGCUGAGCCUUGCCAUUUGCUGCAUGGGGGGCAGAGGGCCUGGCCUCCACUAAGCACACGGGUGCAGGUGUUGUCUGUCUGUCCUGCUUCAUGUCCUUCCUCUCCUAAUUUCACAUUAACUAAUGGAUUUUGGCACCAAGACCUACAGGUGUCAUCCCCUUGUAGGAUUAAGGCUGACACUUGCCCUGAGACUCAAGCAGGAAUAUCAGUUUCCCCUUUCUCUUUGCCACCUCCUGCCUGGCUGGGAAACCGCAGGCAGGGCCAGCAAGGAGAUCCAGUUUGUCUCUCUGUCAACACACCACACCAGCAAGAGAGAGGCUGUGUGUAUCACUCUGAUGUUCCUUUUCUUCUCCUCUUUGCCCUCAUCAGCCCUAAGUGCCAUUUAGCAGCGUUAGCUGGCUACUCCUCUCUGUUGGACACCGAUUACUCCCUGUUGGAGAGCUGUCAGUGAGGGGAAAGCCAUACAUCGCAGCGGGAAGUGAUCUCACCCAGCAGGGGGGCACCUCUUCCCAGCCAAAACAGCGUGGCUUUGACAGGCUUGAUGUAUUUAUUAUCUUCUUGGUGCAGAAACGCUGCCACAGCAGGCAGCGGCGUUGGGGGCAGCAUGCUACUGGUGACUUAGAAGGGAAAGCAAGGAGAACAACAUGCCAAGAAGCUGUCUGGAGGCAGCUGAUGGCAGGGUGCAGGAAGGGGUAAGGAGAGCAUGAAGGAAAGGAAAAGACUAUUGAAAAGAAAAAAGAAAACAAUUCCUUGUACUCGUGUUUAACUCAUCUCCUUAACUCCAGGGAGUCGAGAGGGCAGA